rnacentral:rRNA from 1 species
ACACGACCGUACCGCAAACCGACACUGGUGCGCGAGAUGAGUAUUCUAAGGCGCUUGAGAGAACUCAGGAGAAGGAACUCGGCAAAUUGACACCGUAACUUCGGAAGAAGGUGUGCCUUUAGUAGGUGAACCAUUUACUUGGGGAGCCCAAUGAGGCUGCAAAAAAUCGGUGGCUGCAACUGUUUAUUAAAAACACAGCACUCUGCUAAGACGAAAGUCGACGUAUAGGGUGUGACGCCUGCCCGGUGCUGGAAGAUUAAAUGAUGGGGUGCAAGCUCUUGAUUGAAGUCCCAGUAAACGGCGGCCGUAACAAUAACGGUCCUAAGGUAGCGAAAUUCCUUGUCGGGUAAGUUCCGACCUGCACGAAUGGCGUAAUGAUGGCCACACUGUCUCCUCCUGAGACUCAGCGAAGUUGAAAUGUUUGUGAUGAUGCAAUCUCCCCGCGGAAAGACGGAAAGACCCCAUGAACCUUUACUGUAGCUUUGUAUUGGACUUUGAACAGAUCUGUGUAGGAUAGGUGGGAGGCUUUGAAGUGUGGUCGCUAGAUCGCAUGGAGCCAACGUUGAAAUACCACCCUGGUGUGUUUGAGGUUCUAACCUAGGUCCAUUAUCUGGAUCGGGGACAGUGCAUGGUAGGCAGUUUGACUGGGGCGGUCUCCUCCCAAAGUGUAACGGAGGAGUUCGAAGGUACGCUAGGUACGGUCGGACAUCGUGCUAAUAGUGCAAUGGCAUAAGCGUGCUUAACUGCGAGACUGACAAGUCGAGCAGAUGCGAAAGCAGGACAUAGUGAUCCGGUGGUUCUGUAUGGAAGGGCCAUCGCUCAACGGAUAAAAGGUACUCUGGGGGUAACAGGCUGAUACCGCCCAAGAGUUCAUAUCGACGGCGGUGUUUGGCACCUCGAUGUCGGCUUGUCACAUCCUGGGGCUGGAGAAGGUCCCAAGGGUCCGGCUGUUCGCCGGUUAAAGUGGCACAUGAGCUGGGUUCAGAACGUCGUGAGACAGUUCGGUCUGUAUCCGUCGUGGGCGUUGGAGGGUUGAGGGGUGCGAACUCUAGUACGAGAGGACCGAGAUGGACGAUCCGCUCGUGUCCCGGCUGUGGCGCCAGCUGCAACGCCGGGUAGCGAUGAUCGGUGGCGAUAACCGCUGAAAGCAUCUAAGUGGGAAGCGUCCCCCAAGAUGAACCCUCCCUGGGAACUUGAUUCCCCUAAAGGGCCGGAGGAGACUACUCCGUCGAUAGGCAACAAGUGGAAGUAGCGCAAGCUAUUACGAGCUCAGUUGUCCUAAUCGCCCGUGCGGCUUGACUCC